rnacentral:lncRNA from 1 species
GGUCUAGUGGUGAGGCCAUUAGCUGGCUCUCACUCUCUUCUGUUAGGGGAGAUAUGCAGGAACCCUUAACUCCAAGAGGCAGAAGAGCCUGGGUGGAUGUGAGAGGAAGGGGGAUCAGAGGGAGAGGAAGCAGGAAGGUUACUGCUAAGUUCUGACUCAAGGGAAGCAGUUUCAGGCAGAGUUAAGGAAGUCAAAGGUUUCUUUCUAGGUAGAGAAGCCCAGUUCAUCAGCCUAUGAAAGAACACUGGAAUUUAGAACACAAACUCCUUCUAGGGUGUAAUGAUUGUACACUGGUUAGUGUUACUUAGUACUGUAUUUCUAAGGAAACCGAGCUUGCUGAUGGGACAGAAGAGGGAGACAAUUUUCAACGUCAUUUUCCUCUAACUGUAUGGUCUCUCUCACAGGUAUACAAGGACCCCAGAACCUUAACACAAUUCUGAGGUGGAAGAAAUGGGGAACACCAGGCCUGGCCUCAUGGAGACCGGGGAGUCAGAACCUGAGGUGAGUUGAAAAAAAGACAAAGGGACACCUCUUACCCCA